rfam:Erythranthe guttata cultivar DTN x IM62 scaffold_37_contig_13, whole genome shotgun sequence.
GUUUCCCCUGGAGUUUCCUCAAUCGCUUCAUUGAGUCGGUUUUUUUAUUUUUUUAAAUAAUAAAAAUACUCACUGAAGUGUUUGGGGGAACUCCCGGAGAUUU